rnacentral:rRNA from 1 species
GAUGAACGCUGGCGGCGUGCUUAACACAUGCAAGUCGAACGAAGCACUUUGAUCGAUUUCUUCGGAUUGAAAUUUUAGUGACUGAGUGGCGGACGGGUGAGUAACGCGUGGGUAACCUGCCUCACACAGGGGGAUAACAGUUGGAAACGGCUGCUAAUACCGCAUAAGCGCACAGUACCGCAUGGUACAGUGUGAAAAACUCCGGUGGUGUGAGAUGGACCCGCGUCUGAUUAGCUAGUUGGCAGGGUAACGGCCUACCAAGGCGACGAUCAGUAGCCGACCUGAGAGGGUGACCGGCCACAUUGGGACUGAGACACGGCCCAAACUCCUACGGGAGGCAGCAGUGGGGAAUAUUGCACAAUGGGGGAAACCCUGAUGCAGCGACGCCGCGUGAGCGAAGAAGUAUUUCGGUAUGUAAAGCUCUAUCAGCAGGGAAGAAGAAAUGACGG